rnacentral:rRNA from 1 species
GAGUUUGAUUCUGGCUCAGAGUGAACGCUGGCGGCGUGCCUAAUACAUGCAAGUCGAACGGAGAUUAAAGUAAGCUUGCUUAUUUUAAUCUUAGUGGCGCACGGGUGAGUAAUGUAUAGCUAAUCUGCCCUACACUAGAGGACAACAGUUGGAAACGACUGCUAAUACUCUAUACUCCUUCUUUACAUAAGUUAAAUCGGGAAAGUUUUUCGGUGUAGGAUGAGGCUAUAUCGUAUCAGCUAGUUGGUGAGGUAAUGGCUCACCAAGGCUAUGACGCGUAACUGGUCUGAGAGGAUGAUCAGUCACACUGGAACUGAGACACGGUCCAGACUCCUACGGGAGGCAGCAGUAGGGAAUAUUGCUCAAUGGGGGAAACCCUGAAGCAGCAACGCCGCGUGGAGGAUGACACUUUUCGGAGCGUAAACUCCUUUUCUUGGGAAAGAAUUAU